rnacentral:rRNA from 1 species
UACGGAGGGUGCGAGCGUUGUCCGGAAUCAUUGGGCGUAAAGCGCACGUAGGCGGUCCGUUAAGUCUCUUGGUGAAAGGCUGGGGCUCAACCCUAUGCAUGCCGGGGAUACUGGGGGACUGGAGACAGGUAGAGGCGAGCGGAAUUCCGGGUGUAGCGGUGGAAUGCGUAGAGAUCCGGAAGAACACCGGAGGCGAAGGCGGCUCGCUGGACCUGAUCUGACGCUGAGGUGCGAAAGCGUGGGGAGCAAACAGG